UGGGGGAAACCCUGAUGCAGCGACGCCGCGUGGAGGAAGAAGGUCUUCGGAUUGUAAACUCCUGUUGUUGAGGAAGAUAAUGACGGUACUCAACAAGGAAGUGACGGCUAACUACGUGCCAGCAGCCGCGGUAAAACGUAGGUCACAAGCGUUGUCCGGAAUUACUGGGUGUAAAGGGAGCGCAGGCGGGAAGACAAGUUGGAAGUGAAAUCCAUGGGCUCAACCCAUGAACUGCUUUCAAAACUGUUUUUCUUGAGUAGUGCAGAGGUAGGCGGAAUUCCCGGUGUAGCGGUGGAAUGCGUAGAUAUCGGGAGGAACACCAGUGGCGAAGGCGGCCUACUGGGCACCAACUGACGCUGAGGCUCGAAAGUGUGGGUAGCAAACAGGAUUAGAUACCCUGGUAGUUCACACCGUAAACGAUGAUUACUAGGUGUUGGAGGAUUGACCCCUUCAGUG
rnacentral:rRNA from 1 species